rnacentral:rRNA from 1 species
UACGGGGGGGGGCAAGCGUUGUUCGGAAUUACUGGGCGUAAAGGGCGCGUAGGCGGUUCGCUAAGUCGGAUGUGAAAACUCUGGGCUCAACCCAGAGCCUGCAUCCGAAACUGGCGGGCUAGAGUUCUGGAGGGGGUAGCGGAAUUCCUGGUGUAGCGGUGAAAUGCGUAGAUAUCGGGAGGAACACCGGUGGCGAAGGCGGUUCUCUGGGACGGUACUGACGCUGAGGCGCGAAAGCGUGGGGAGCAAACAGG